ensembl:lncRNA
CACAAGUCAGAGACCACUAUGAUGAAUCACCAAAUGUGUUCGAUGGAUCUCGGGAAAAUAGCAGGAAUAGGUUUUGUAGGCUACAGUCCAAGCUAUGUCUUCGAAUGGUGCGACUGCUGUCGGCAUCCAUAGAUGAUCUAAUUUCAAUAAACGCUUGGAGAGCUCCAACCUGAAGAUCACUGACGUCAUAAGUUCCCAGUUGUCAUGAAAGCAACAUAAAUCCAGAGAAUACAACACUUUGAUGACAACAUUUGCCCACAAGGACCGGCGCGCCAACUUCCUGUUUUUGUGACCACAGCACAACAAGCGGUCUAAGGUACUGCAUCUCACUGCAAGAGGCAUCAUUGCAGUCCCUGGUUUGAAUCCAGGCUGCAUCACAUCCGGCCGUAAUUGAGAUUCCCAUAGAGCGGCGCACAAUUGGCU